GGGUUGUGAGGUUAAGCGACUAAGCGUACACGGUGGAUGCCCUGGCAGUCAGAGGCGAUGAAGGACGUGCUAAUCUGCGAUAAGCGUCGGUAAGGUGAUAUGAACCGUUAUAACCGGCGAUUUCCGAAUGGGGAAACCCAGUGUGUUUCGACACACUAUCAUUAACUGAAUCCAUAGGUUAAUGAGGCGAACCGGGGGAACUGAAACAUCUAAGUACCCCGAGGAAAAGAAAUCAACCGAGAUUCCCCCAGUAGCGGCGAGCGAACGGGGAGCAGCCCAGAGCCUGAAUCAGUGUGUGUGUUAGUGGAAGCGUCUGGAAAGGCGCGCGAUACAGGGUGACAGCCCCGUACACAAAAAUGCACAUGCUGUGAGCUCGAUGAGUAGGGCGGGACACGUGGUAUCCUGUCUGAAUAUGGGGGGACCAUCCUCCAAGGCUAAAUACUCCUGACUGACCGAUAGUGAACCAGUACCGUGAGGGAAAGGCGAAAAGAACCCCGGCGAGGGGAGUGAAAAAGAACCUGAAACCGUGUACGUACAAGCAGUGGGAGCACGCUUAGGCGUGUGACUGCGUACCUUUUGUAUAAUGGGUCAGCGACUUAUAUUCUGUAGCAAGGUUAACCGAAUAGGGGAGCCGAAGGGAAACCGAGUCUUAACUGGGCGUUAAGUUGCAGGGUAUAGACCCGAAACCCGGUGAUCUAGCCAUGGGCAGGUUGAAGGUUGGGUAACACUAACUGGAGGACCGAACCGACUAAUGUUGAAAAAUUAGCGGAUGACUUGUGGCUGGGGGUGAAAGGCCAAUCAAACCGGGAGAUAGCUGGUUCUCCCCGAAAGCUAUUUAGGUAGCGCCUCGUGAAUUCAUCUCCGGGGGUAGAGCACUGUUUCGGCAAGGGGGUCAUCCCGACUUACCAACCCGAUGCAAACUGCGAAUACCGGAGAAUGUUAUCACGGGAGACACACGGCGGGUGCUAACGUCCGUCGUGAAGAGGGAAACAACCCAGACCGCCAGCUAAGGUCCCAAAGUCAUGGUUAAGUGGGAAACGAUGUGGGAAGGCCCAGACAGCCAGGAUGUUGGCUUAGAAGCAGCCAUCAUUUAAAGAAAGCGUAAUAGCUCACUGGUCGAGUCGGCCUGCGCGGAAGAUGUAACGGGGCUAAACCAUGCACCGAAGCUGCGGCAGCGACACUAUGUGUUGUUGGGUAGGGGAGCGUUCUGUAAGCCUGUGAAGGUGUGCUGUGAGGCAUGCUGGAGGUAUCAGAAGUGCGAAUGCUGACAUAAGUAACGAUAAAGCGGGUGAAAAGCCCGCUCGCCGGAAGACCAAGGGUUCCUGUCCAACGUUAAUCGGGGCAGGGUGAGUCGACCCCUAAGGCGAGGCCGAAAGGCGUAGUCGAUGGGAAACAGGUUAAUAUUCCUGUACUUGGUGUUACUGCGAAGGGGGGACGGAGAAGGCUAUGUUGGCCGGGCGACGGUUGUCCCGGUUUAAGCGUGUAGGCUGGUUUUCCAGGCAAAUCCGGAAAAUCAAGGCUGAGGCGUGAUGACGAGGCACUACGGUGCUGAAGCAACAAAUGCCCUGCUUCCAGGAAAAGCCUCUAAGCAUCAGGUAACAUCAAAUCGUACCCCAAACCGACACAGGUGGUCAGGUAGAGAAUACCAAGGCGCUUGAGAGAACUCGGGUGAAGGAACUAGGCAAAAUGGUGCCGUAACUUCGGGAGAAGGCACGCUGAUAUGUAGGUGAGGUCCCUCGCGGAUGGAGCUGAAAUCAGUCGAAGAUACCAGCUGGCUGCAACUGUUUAUUAAAAACACAGCACUGUGCAAACACGAAAGUGGACGUAUACGGUGUGACGCCUGCCCGGUGCCGGAAGGUUAAUUGAUGGGGUCAGCGCAAGCGAAGCUCUUGAUCGAAGCCCCGGUAAACGGCGGCCGUAACUAUAACGGUCCUAAGGUAGCGAAAUUCCUUGUCGGGUAAGUUCCGACCUGCACGAAUGGCGUAAUGAUGGCCAGGCUGUCUCCACCCGAGACUCAGUGAAAUUGAACUCGCUGUGAAGAUGCAGUGUACCCGCGGCAAGACGGAAAGACCCCGUGAACCUUUACUAUAGCUUGACACUGAACAUUGAGCCUUGAUGUGUAGGAUAGGUGGGAGGCUUUGAAGUGUGGACGCCAGUCUGCAUGGAGCCGACCUUGAAAUACCACCCUUUAAUGUUUGAUGUUCUAACGUUGACCCGUAAUCCGGGUUGCGGACAGUGUCUGGUGGGUAGUUUGACUGGGGCGGUCUCCUCCUAAAGAGUAACGGAGGAGCACGAAGGUUGGCUAAUCCUGGUCGGACAUCAGGAGGUUAGUGCAAUGGCAUAAGCCAGCUUGACUGCGAGCGUGACGGCGCGAGCAGGUGCGAAAGCAGGUCAUAGUGAUCCGGUGGUUCUGAAUGGAAGGGCCAUCGCUCAACGGAUAAAAGGUACUCCGGGGAUAACAGGCUGAUACCGCCCAAGAGUUCAUAUCGACGGCGGUGUUUGGCACCUCGAUGUCGGCUCAUCACAUCCUGGGGCUGAAGUAGGUCCCAAGGGUAUGGCUGUUCGCCAUUUAAAGUGGUACGCGAGCUGGGUUUAGAACGUCGUGAGACAGUUCGGUCCCUAUCUGCCGUGGGCGCUGGAGAACUGAGGGGGGCUGCUCCUAGUACGAGAGGACCGGAGUGGACGCAUCACUGGUGUUCGGGUUGUCAUGCCAAUGGCACUGCCCGGUAGCUAAAUGCGGAAGAGAUAAGUGCUGAAAGCAUCUAAGCACGAAACUUGCCCCGAGAUGAGUUCUCCCUGAC
rnacentral:rRNA from 1 species